AUACAUUUUUUAGAUAGGCACUAUUUAAUUGAAUAUUAACGUCGGAUGCUCUACUGCACAUCAAUAAUAAACUCGAAUUUUUUCGAAUCUACUACGAGUAGGUAUGUGAUAUUAUGAUGUAUUAUGCAGUGGCGUAUCCAGAAUUUUUCAAUAGGAGGGACUAAACAUUACAAAUUUAAUGCAAUUUACAUACUAAAAUGAAAGUAAAACAAUUUUACAUGCAUUACAAAAAUAGCAUUUGUCUUG